AACGAACGCUGGCGGCAGGCUUAACACAUGCAAGUCGAACGCUCCGCAAGGAGAGUGGCAGACGGGUGAGUAACGCGUGGGAACGUGCCUUUUGGUUCGGAACAACUUCGGGGAAAACUGGAGCUAAUACCGAAUGUGCCCUUCGGGGGAAAGAUUUAUCGCCAAAGAUCGGCCCGCGUCAGAUUAGCUAGUUGGUGGGGUAAUGGCCUACCAAGGCGACGAUCUGUAGCUGGUCUGAGAGGAUGAUCAGCCACACUGGGCUGAGACACGGCCCAGACUCCUACGGGAGGCAGCAGUGGGGAAUCUUGGACAAUGGGCGCAAGCCUGAUCCAGCCAUGCCGCGUGAAUGAUGAAGGCCUUAGGGUUGUAAAUUCUUUACGUCGGGGACGAUAAUGACGGUACCGAAGAAGAAGCUCCGGCUAAC
rnacentral:rRNA from 1 species